rnacentral:rRNA from 1 species
GAUGAACGCUGGCGGCGUGCCUAAUACAUGCAAGUCGAGCGAACAGACGAGGAGCUUGCUCCUCUGACGUUAGCGGCGGACGGGUGAGUAACACGUGGAUAACCUACCUAUAAGACUGGGAUAACUUCGGGAAACCGGAGCUAAUACCGGAUAAUAUAUUGAACCGCGUGGUUCAAUAGUGAAAGACGGUUUUGCUGUCACUUAUAGAUGGAUCCGCGCCGCAUUAGCUAGUUGGUAAGGUAACGGCUUACCAAGGCAACGAUGCGUAGCCGACCUGAGAGGGUGAUCGGCCACACUGGAACUGAGACACGGUCCAGACUCCUACGGGAGGCAGCAGUAGAGAAUCUUCCGCAAUGGGCGAAAGCCUGACGGAGCAACGCCGCGUGAGUGAUGAAGGUCUUCGGAUCGUAAAACUCUGUUAUUAGGGAAGAACAAAUGUGUAAGUAACUAUGCACGUCUUGACGGUACCUAAUCAGAAAGCCACGGCUAACUACGUG